GGACUUUUGUAUUUAAGCGUCCUUUAGCUCCUAACAUAGAGUUAGGGUGGGGGUAAUAUACGGCUUUUACUCUAUCAUGUUUGGUUUAGUGUUGCAGCCUGUUCCACCCGAAAAUCAACUUAAAGGUGGGGUAGGCAGGAUCUGAGGAAGUGCCAGUUUUUGGGAGAAAUCUUGAAUGUAAACUCAACCCCUCCAAACCAGUUUUCCCCUCAGCUCCUCCUCUCCAGCAAACCCCGCCCACAAACAGAUGCACAUUAUAUUACCGAAUGUCAUCAAUAACUGAUAGCUUUGACUGAUUUUAAAGCUUUUUUGUAUAAACACCACAAAAAAGAUGCUUCUUUAACAGAUUCCUGCCUAACCCACCUUUAACUUAGACGUAGGGGUGUUUGGGCAAAGUAAAAAUAAAACUUCUCUGCUAGUCUCAAUCAUACUUUAUUUAUACUUUUCAAUACUGGUGACAAAGUGCUUCACAUCGUGCGAUAAAAGAUUUAGGAGAGGGAAAGAGAUAAAAUCACAGGAUAAAAGGUUUUCUGUAAAAUUUGUCUUAAGCAGGGAAAUAAAAGAAGGGACUCACUUUGCAAGUCUGAUCUCCUCUGACAGCAAACGUCCUUUCACAUGUAGAUUUUGAUGUGGACCUUGGAACAGCCAGCCCAGCAGAGCACUGUUAGAGGAUCUCAGACCACGUCCCGGCUCCUAGAGGGAUAAAAAACUCAGAAAUAAAGUCAGGGGUGAGUCCAUGUCGAGCCUUAGAUAUGAUUAAAAGAACGUCAAAGUAUAAAUUUAAGUCAUAUCAUAACAAGACCUGUCAAGGCAACGGCUGAAGUUCCGUGUGACGUUCUCCAUGAUGCUGUUGCUAGGAAACAGACACAACAUCAUCAGUUCUUUUUUUUAUCUGUGGCUGAAAACAUGAGUUAAGGUGAGAAAACAGCAAAAUACCGUUAAACUGUCAAUGUCGUUUCUCAUCUGAGCUUGUUUACUUCUCAGUGAAGGACGAUUGUCGGACCGCGGCACUAAAUGACCAGAUCCACAGUCCCCGAUAGUGCCAGGUUGUCGUGCUGCAUCCUGGACGCCAUAUAUGACCUGCAAUAACGAAAAUAUCAAUUAGUCCUGAAACCGAACAGUAAUUCAGGUGUAUUCUGAGUGGACCCGGUCGACUGAUUUAUUCAGAAAUGAGGAUAUGAUUAUUGCGACAUGAUGCAAACUGUGCUGAAGGUUGUAUUUGGUGCAAAAGUAGUAUAAAUAUUUGACGGUUUGAGGGAAGGAUGAAAACUUGAGGGAUUAAUCGUAGUUUUUCUGCACACAGGACGUUUCCGAUCAGUGAUAAACUGUAUUUCCUGUGGUAUGUGCGCUUAACAAUAGAGUUGAUGAACCGUCUGGAGGAGUGGAGGCAGACUAAGCUGAUCACAGAGAAGUGGAUCAGUACAGUGAGAGUACAGACGAGGGGAUAGAGAGAGAGAGAGAGAGAGAGAAAAGCAGGAUGAAUGAACGAGUGAAAACAUAUUGGUCAUCCUGAGUUCAGCCCCUCUCCCCUGCUGUGAGCCCCGACCGCGGGCUGCUUCACUGCCUUGCUGCCCAGGCUCCGCUGGGCAUAAAUCCAGAUUUCUGUCCAAAUUACCAGCUCCGCUUCGCAGAAGAAGGCCAGCGGGGUGAGAAGAUCUCACCCUCCACCCCCCUCUGUCUGAACCCCUCGCUGGCCCGGCGCGAAGCUGACGGAGCGUCGCGGAUGGCCCUGGAUUGCACCUGGACUGGGGGCUUUCCAGCUCUUCCCCCCCCUUCAGUUCACACACACACACACACACACACGCACGCACGCACGCACGCACACACACACACACACACACACACACACACACACACACACACACACACACACAUAUAACCCCCAGACCGUAACCCUGCUUCCCUUUCUUUGGGUUUUAACCAGGUGGCGUACAAAUAUAUGAAAACUCCAAAGGCUGUAACCUCCUGGGUAACAGUUGGGACAGAAGCUGCUUUGAAACGCUGCCAGGUCUCUGCAGGGACAAUCGUCGAACCUCAGGACUGCGUUUGUAAAUACUGCUGAUCGUAACGACAGAUUUUAUGUUUGGUUAUUAACCUGUUAGCUUUAAAACCGUCAUGUCAGCUUGCUUUUGAUUAAACUGUGUUACAACGUCUGAGGUUACUCCACUGUCACGCCUCCAUCUCAGUUGAGGUAAAACAAGAGUGUAAAUAUUCCGUCUUACAAUGGCAGCAUUUUCGCGCCCAAAGUUUCAAUAAAAAAAAAGACGAAGGGCACAUCUGACGUAGGGCUGCGCGAUAUUGGCCAAAAAUAAAAUUAGGAUUUAUUUUCCUCUAAAAACUAGAUUUCCGUUUCUUUAUUCAGUGACAACUUCAUCAAACUUCACUUUAAAAAUAAAAAGUUGUUCUAUCAUCUCUCAAAACAAAAACACUGAAAACCAUGUAGUGCAUAUGCCAAGCCAGUAAGUGGCGCUGUAACGCUGCACAGGAAAUGCACAAAAAUCAGAAGAAGAGAACAGAGCAUGUGGAUAAAGGUUGUUUUGGUCGGACACACUCGGGCGCCAUAAAAGAGUUACACUGUGUGUCACAUGAUCGUUUCCAGAUACAUAGACAUCCACACGGAGAUGAAAUGAUCGUCGACCCAUUUUAAAAAGGUACCGUUUACAGUCACCUGAAAUGCUGUUUCCGUGUGGAUGAAACGCCGAUACGAGAAAAAAAAAUUGCGUUUACUCCUGAAUUCGUUUCCGUGUGGACGGGUUGAUACCGCCUUCAGACAGACUUUGCAGCGGGGAGUGGUUUGGUCUUCAUCAGAAACUGUGAAGCCGUACCAAUUCAACACAUCUGACUUGCUUUUGUCCUAUUUAGCCACGAAAUUAUGGCCUUCUUUUACAAACGCCAUGUUUGUUUAUACUGGUGUGUGGAAACUGAAGAGCGGGGAUACAGGGGAGCCUACGGUGGCCUGGAGGCACGAGACAUGAUAGAGAGGAAAAUCGGUUUGAUGAUUUUAAUUUUUUUAACAUCGUCAUAAUCAAAUAAAAAGGUUAUGAUUUAAAACGAUUAAUCGUGCAGCCCUCAUUGAACGAGAGCUCGAUUUGACCGCAGGUGUGUCGCCUCAACCAGAAUUUUGUACUUUCUUUUUUGUUGCAGUGAACCAAAUUCAGGUCUGUCCCUAAUUUCCAAUCAUAAUGUAAUUCCUCCAAGAGUCAGACUUGUCAUUGUUUCGAUGAAAUCAGCUGUUCUCUCUGUCGUGAAUUGGUUUAGGAUGGUUUUUGACCGUCGCUCCUGCCAGUAGUGACAUUAAAUCCCAGUUUGUUAUGAAGAGUACAGUGUCGUUGUGACGUUGAAUAUCAGGUGGUUUGAAGAGGUUUGGUUGUCCUAAAUAAAGCCUCAGGAAGAUGAUGCCCCCUGUUGUCUGACAGCCUUCGAACCCCAUCGGCACGGAGACGACCUCCUCCGGGGUUUUCUCUCCUCUAGGCUCACUUCCUGUGUCAGCUGCUCUCUCAGUGGAUGACUUCGACCUUCCCCAAGUCUGUGAUGUGAGUUUCUGUCUUACAGUGGUGUAGGAAGAACGACUUCUUAUGUUGCACAUGUACACAGUCCAAAUAUGAGACAUCCAGGCAUCAGAUUAUAAAUUUUGCAGACUUUUUCCACUCUGAGGUAGAUGUGGAGUUGAUGCACGAAGUACGUCAGGAAGACGGUGCAAAAUACAGACAUAGAAAAAACACUUUUAACUGAAUUAAGUGUUAGGAGAUGACUCAUUUAGCAUUCAUAUGUUUAAAUUGAAAUAAAAGUAAUUUAAAAAUUUUCAUGUUUUGCAUUUUUUUCAGCAUUUACACUUGAUUUUUAUGACCUCAUAUAAAAGUCUGGACCUAUUCAAAGACUUAAACAGACUUAGACUGAGUCAGAUCCUCGUUUAGCAGGAAAAGUUGUGCGCCAUUUUUCUACAAAUGUGAGUUUUGGAGUAAAAUAUCUUCCUCUGGAGCGUCGGGGUAUCACUGAUGCUGAGGGACCUCCCAUGGUUCUGCUGUUUGUCCUGGUCCCGCCUCAGGGUUGGGGGUCGUGUUUACCUCAUAACAAAAAGCAACAUGCUUUCGAUGCUCUGCCAGUGUGCUGCUGUGUAAACUGUAAACAACACACACACACACUUACACACACACAGACACAGACACACACACGUACUCCUGCAGGGACCUCUCUCCAGCCUCUUGAGUCCCUGUUGUGCGGUCUAUCACCACCACUGUGGAGCCUUUAAGCAAAGCACUUAAUCCCUGAUUGCAGCAAAGUGAAUAAUCUGAAAGUGAUUUUUUGAGUUUCUUAUUCCUUUAUCACACCACAUGAACAGAAACAAGCCCUGUAAAGUCAGCUCAGGUGCAACAGACAUUAAAAUAACAACUUCAGCUGAUUUACGAUGUUGGAAAUUAAAGUUUUUCACCAACUAAAAAGGGUUAAAACCUCGACUAGAACACCUGAAUAAAGAGGUCAGACAUGAAUUUUUCUCUUCCAUAUGUACAUCUCAAUCUGACUCUGAUGCUCCACGCACAUAUCAGGCCCUGAAUCGGAGGUUGAACAGUUUCUUGCUAACGUGUUUGUUGAUUGUUUUGGUGCAUGACGCAAGAGGUCAGCUAGGAGAUAUCCCAGUAGUAACGUGUGAAAGAGAGGGAGCGUAUCGACAUGGAGCCGUUGGCUACCCUGAAACUCUGAGUGAUUAUCGGCAGCACUUAUGUUGAAUUUGGCCAAAUAAGUUAAAGGGAUAUUCCGGCAUAAAAUUAAGUUAGGGUCAAACACACCGUAACACAGAGUUAGACACCCUGUUGAGAGAUGAAUGUUGCCGACCGCUUGCUUCUCUAGUCAUACCAACUUCAGUAACGACCACACGAUAGCCACAUGCUUAACCAAAACGCCACUCUAUAGCCACAAAUAAUGCUCAGAACAGCACCUAACUUCAUCAACAGGACAUAUAGGGUCACAGCCAUAUUAUUAGCCACCAAACAUCUUUUUAGCUUUGCCUAAUUUCUCUAGCAAAAAGAUGAAACACAACUCACCUACUCUCUUCCAGCAGCCGCUUGUUUGUAGCAAGACCUCAGGCCAGUCCAUUACGGACUACAGCGGGGUGACACAGCUCAAGGAAGAACAUUUAUGAUCAUUUCUUCAUGGAAAUGCAAUCAGACCGAGACGCUAAGGCAGAAGAACCACCGCGUCUGCGGAGCAAAAUGAUUAAUAUGGUGAUUAUUACUUAAAGGAAAUGAUAAAGAAAUGAUCAUAAAGAAAUGAGUCAAAGUUAAAAAGAUGUUUGGUGUCUAGUACUAUGUCUGUGACCCUAUAUGUCCUGUUGAUGAAGUUAGGUGCUGUUCUGAGCAUUAUUUGUGGCUAUAGAGUGGCGUUCUAUCCUGCGGUCGUUACUAAAGUUGGUGUAACUAGAGAAGCAAGCGAUCGGCAACAUUCAUCUCUUGAGCAGAUUUAACUGUUGCUGCUACCACUGAAGUUAAACAAGAAAAUAUAUAUAACAUAUUUUAAAUUAUUUUAUAUUACAGGUAGUAGACUUGUGGAGACAACUUUGUUACCACCUCUAACAUGAGUGGAUACCUCUCUCUGCGUUUCAUACGGGUAAAAAAGUCUACAUACGGCGCCUCUUACUUUUAGACGACCAAAUUUUAUGUUAAUUACAACAAUAACUCUGUUUAAAUAAAGUUUACAGACGUCCCAGGCCUCUAAAUUUGUGAGACAUCAGACGCCCUCCCCCAGAAUCUGAUGCCUCGGUCAGCCGCCGUGAACCAGGAGCUGACCAGCAUCUCAGCCGUGACCUCAGAACACACACCCGGAGCGGUGAACCCGGACAAACGUGGGUGAGGAACCUCAGAGCCAAUGAACCUCCAACACACACACACACACACACACAUACGCAGCCCCUCAAAACACACACAUAGAUACACACUCAACCACAUUCAAAUGCUCCACCCACCCCCCCCAGCUAAAACUUUGCCAUGGAAGCUGAUUUCGCCCUCUGGAUGAACCUUUCUCCAGGACCCUGAGCUCAGAGGGGGCUGGAUUAGAGGGUGGAAGGGUGUGUGUGUGUGUAGGAGUGGGGGGUGACUGAUAGAAGGAUAGAUGGGUUUGUUUUAACGGGACAGAAAUAAAACAUUUGGAGAUAAUUCAAACCGACUUUUAUCCCGCCACCAUGAAGCAGCGAUAGUGUUGCAGAGAUGUCGAAAAAUCUGCAGAAAAAAAAAUCAGUUUAGGAGAUACUUCUCAUAUUUCGAUCAUGUCUAAAGAACUGAAGUGUCGAGCUGAAGUUGUGUGAAUUACCACCACACUUACACACUCGCAUUGCCAAUCUCACACUGAACCACAGGGGCUCCUCCCUGGACUCCCAACCCAUCAUGCACCUGUUCACAGCUCUGUCCCAGCCUGCCCUCCUUCCCCUGCAGCAUUCCUCCAAACACACAUGAACAGACUCUGACACAAAACUCAGAAAAGACUUCGCCAUUUGGGUUUCCAGUCGGGUAAUUACGCGCCGUUCCCAUCAACGGACUUUGAUUUAUGCGUCCGUAUAUCAAUCCUGCAGCUCAGACUCGGCUGCUGACAAAUGAAAGAUUGACACUCAGAGCUGAGCGUGAAGUCUGUACAUCCCCAACAUAAAAUACGUCUCCGUCUCCCUCCCUGCCAAGGCUGUGAGCGAGUAUUAGCUCCUCAGACAGGCUGCAGCGCCAAGG